AUACUCUGGUUUCUCUUCAGAUCGUAUAAAUCUUUCGCCUUUUACUAAAGAUUUCCGUGGAGAGGAACAAUUCUGAGUUUUUUCCCAAUUUUUUGAGGCCUUGCUUUUGCAAGGCU
rnacentral:snRNA from 1 species